CUCAUUUUAUAACCUUUAUGGUGUUCUAGUCAAUCGUGCUUAUGUAGCCACAUUAUUCUAUUAGCUCUGUAAAACAAUGCUAACUGCGUCAGAUAAGUAUUAUCUUUUGUGUUGUAUUUUGAAGCUACAUGGCCUUAUGACUCCCAAGUGGUGCAGCGGUCAAAGGCACAGCACGUCAGUGCAAGAGGCGUCACUACAGGCUCCCUGGUUAAAAUCCAGGCGGAGUUUCUAUCAAAGUGCCUUAUUACGUUAUAAUAGUUUCCGUAUGCCGUUUCUCUGUAGCUCACUGUAUGUAUGGAUCAUAAUAUAUUCCUUAUAACUGCGGACACGCGAGAAACCACAAACAUUAUUUGCCAAUAUCAUAACUGGAGCAGGACAUCUUUGGAGCUGAAGAAUUAGGACAGCUUUUGUAUGCUAACGUACACUCCUUAACAGUUUUACUGGAUGAAAACACAGCAAGAAAACACAUAUGCCAAUAUGUAAUAGUCAUCUAUUUUAUUGCAGUAUUGGUAGUUGGUUCAACAACUUGUUUUACAAGAGGACAAAAAACUGAAUAUGCAUAACCCAUAUUUAAUAUCCAUGCAGUGACUGAACAACAACUGCAUUUCCACCCCCAUCUCUAAAGGCAUAGUAUCAUGGCAGGUCACCUGUCAAGUCACCUGUCAGGUCAGUCAGUCACUUAUUGCUGCAGAUGUGCUCAAUAAUGCUUGAGCAUGUGAUACUCCUAAAAGCAUGGUGAAAUGCAAUACUUCCUGUUUGACCUGACUGUGCCACAGGCCCCUGUGCUGUUGGAGAGCAGAUGAUGGAAGAGUGUGGGACUGCUGUACCAAUCGUCCACGUACAAAGUGUGUCCCUUGCUGAGAUGAGGAGCCAGCAUGGUCAUCACCACGGACCCUGACACCCCAAGCCCCUCAUAGUGUUUGAUGUCAGUGGUGGACCCUGUGUAAACUAUAAUAUCCUGGACAAAUCCUGUCUUCACGUCGCACAUGACAAAGAAAUUGACUCCAAACCUGUGCCUUUUGGAGGGAAUAUAUUGACGGAACACCAGCCUACCUUUCCAUAACAUCAGGGACUCAUCAAUGCAUAGGUCCUUGUAUGGCACAAAGACCCGACCAAAUGCUGAUGUCAGGCUGAUAAGAACAUUUCUUAUUUUGUACAACGGGUCACUUAGGAUGGCAGUAGCAUUGUUGACUAAAUGCAGGCAUCACAGCAGAACUAGGAAGCGGUCUUGGGAAAAGAGGGUGGCAAAGGAGGGAGUUGCAAACAUAAGAUCUGUGCUCCAGUAUUCUCUUAGGGAGUUCUUCUUUACUAUUCCCAUGAGAAGGACUGUCACCAGGAAGGUAUACAUUUCACUAAUUGUGGUGUCACCCAUUUAGCGAGUUUCCCCCUCACUCCUGGCUCUCUCUUCUCCUGUAGCUCUAAGGCAUAGCGAUUGGUCUCCUCAACUAUGUCUCCCACCAGCUCCUCUGUCAGAAACAACUUGAAGCACUCUGCCUCAGUUGGAAAUGGCAAGGGGCGUUGCACUCCAGACUGGGACUCGUCAAAGCAAACAGCAGGGCCAGGAGGGGUGAAAUGACUGGUGGCCAUCCAGCUACCACAGACCUCCUGUACUUCAUCCACUGUCGGUCUGCCUCCAUCACCACCAGCAUCUUCAAAGGGACCUGGUACUUUGUCAGUGGACAAGGGAAAUUCAGAAUGCAGCUCCUCACUGUCAUUGUCAGAAUUUUAAAAAAUCUCCAGAAUUUCCACAUUUGUGAGUUGUCUCCUUUUAAGAGACAUUGUUAAUGCUACAGCUUAGCUCACCAGCUACAUACAUAAACAACACUGAAUGGCGCAGAGUGGGAGGUUCCGUGGUUGACUGCCGGCACGCGCCACUUGUAUCAAUAAAUCAUGUAUUUACGGUUU